AUUCACAUGGAGGCGAGUCAAUCUAGCAAAUAAGCAGAGGGAAAAUGACACAUGUAAGCAUCCCAACAAUUAUGGCAUCAGCAAGUAAUUCAAACUAUAGUUCCCAAUGAGACAAAAUUAACUCAGAAUAGCAAAUUAAGCAUCCCAUGACAAUAAAAUGAAUCAAUUUUUUUUUAAAAUAUUCAAUUACAAUCUAGAAAUCCAAGUACAAACCAACAAUUAUAAUUAUCUGAUAUCGCUCCCACUGAGCCACAGCAAGCAGCAAGAAAACUACGAAUUGAACAAGGGGUGGCAUAGCUCAGUAGGAGCUACCAUCACAACUAAAUUAAUACCGCAGGGAUGGCUUCAAGUUGAUUCAAUUCCCAUCUACAAAUUUAUCUACUUCAAUUGGUGAAGUUUAUGAAUUCCUCUUUCUCAUACACUCACAAAUUUAAGUAUAACAUGUAGACGAAAUUAAAGCUCAGUUUCUUUUAUAUCACUGAAUUACUAAAAAUAAACUCAGUUCUAGCUCGCAAAGUAACAAGCCCCGUCAACGGCACUCAAAGUCAACUCUUUCAAGUUCAUAAGUUUAACACAAACACACGCGCACACAAAAAAAAAAAAAAAAAAA
rnacentral:misc_RNA from 1 species